rnacentral:rRNA from 1 species
GGGUUGUGAGGUUAAGCGACUAAGCGUACACGGUGGAUGCCCUGGCAGUCAGAGGCGAUGAAGGACGUGCUAAUCUGCGAUAAGCGUCGGUAAGGUGAUAUGAACCGUUAUAACCGGCGAUUUCCGAAUGGGGAAACCCAGUGUGUUUCGACACACUAUCAUUAACUGAAUCCAUAGGUUAAUGAGGCGAACCGGGGGAACUGAAACAUCUAAGUACCCCGAGGAAAAGAAAUCAACCGAGAUUCCCCCAGUAGCGGCGAGCGAACGGGGAGCAGCCCAGAGCCUGAAUCAGUGUGUGUGUUAGUGGAAGCGUCUGGAAAGGCGCGCGAUACAGGGUGACAGCCCCGUACACAAAAAUGCACAUGCUGUGAGCUCGAUGAGUAGGGCGGGACACGUGGUAUCCUGUCUGAAUAUGGGGGGACCAUCCUCCAAGGCUAAAUACUCCUGACUGACCGAUAGUGAACCAGUACCGUGAGGGAAAGGCGAAAAGAACCCCGGCGAGGGGAGUGAAAAAGAACCUGAAACCGUGUACGUACAAGCAGUGGGAGCACGCUUAGGCGUGUGACUGCGUACCUUUUGUAUAAUGGGUCAGCGACUUAUAUUCUGUAGCAAGGUUAACCGAAUAGGGGAGCCGAAGGGAAACCGAGUCUUAACUGGGCGUUAAGUUGCAGGGUAUAGACCCGAAACCCGGUGAUCUAGCCAUGGGCAGGUUGAAGGUUGGGUAACACUAACUGGAGGACCGAACCGACUAAUGUUGAAAAAUUAGCGGAUGACUUGUGGCUGGGGGUGAAAGGCCAAUCAAACCGGGAGAUAGCUGGUUCUCCCCGAAAGCUAUUUAGGUAGCGCCUCGUGAAUUCAUCUCCGGGGGUAGAGCACUGUUUCGGCAAGGGGGUCAUCCCGACUUACCAACCCGAUGCAAACUGCGAAUACCGGAGAAUGUUAUCACGGGAGACACACGGCGGGUGCUAACGUCCGUCGUGAAGAGGGAAACAACCCAGACCGCCAGCUAAGGUCCCAAAGUCAUGGUUAAGUGGGAAACGAUGUGGGAAGGCCCAGACAGCCAGGAUGUUGGCUUAGAAGCAGCCAUCAUUUAAAGAAAGCGUAAUAGCUCACUGGUCGAGUCGGCCUGCGCGGAAGAUGUAACGGGGCUAAACCAUGCACCGAAGCUGCGGCAGCGACGCUUAUGCGUUGUUGGGUAGGGGAGCGUUCUGUAAGCCUGCGAAGGUGUGCUGUGAGGCAUGCUGGAGGUAUCAGAAGUGCGAAUGCUGACAUAAGUAACGAUAAAGCGGGUGAAAAGCCCGCUCGCCGGAAGACCAAGGGUUCCUGUCCAACGUUAAUCGGGGCAGGGUGAGUCGACCCCUAAGGCGAGGCCGAAAGGCGUAGUCGAUGGGAAACAGGUUAAUAUUCCUGUACUUGGUGUUACUGCGAAGGGGGGACGGAGAAGGCUAUGUUGGCCGGGCGACGGUUGUCCCGGUUUAAGCGUGUAGGCUGGUUUUCCAGGCAAAUCCGGAAAAUCAAGGCUGAGGCGUGAUGACGAGGCACUACGGUGCUGAAGCAACAAAUGCCCUGCUUCCAGGAAAAGCCUCUAAGCAUCAGGUAACAUCAAAUCGUACCCCAAACCGACACAGGUGGUCAGGUAGAGAAUACCAAGGCGCUUGAGAGAACUCGGGUGAAGGAACUAGGCAAAAUGGUGCCGUAACUUCGGGAGAAGGCACGCUGAUAUGUAGGUGAAGUCCCUCGCGGAUGGAGCUGAAAUCAGUCGAAGAUACCAGCUGGCUGCAACUGUUUAUUAAAAACACAGCACUGUGCAAACACGAAAGUGGACGUAUACGGUGUGACGCCUGCCCGGUGCCGGAAGGUUAAUUGAUGGGGUCAGCGCAAGCGAAGCUCUUGAUCGAAGCCCCGGUAAACGGCGGCCGUAACUAUAACGGUCCUAAGGUAGCGAAAUUCCUUGUCGGGUAAGUUCCGACCUGCACGAAUGGCGUAAUGAUGGCCAGGCUGUCUCCACCCGAGACUCAGUGAAAUUGAACUCGCUGUGAAGAUGCAGUGUACCCGCGGCAAGACGGAAAGACCCCGUGAACCUUUACUAUAGCUUGACACUGAACAUUGAGCCUUGAUGUGUAGGAUAGGUGGGAGGCUUUGAAGUGUGGACGCCAGUCUGCAUGGAGCCGACCUUGAAAUACCACCCUUUAAUGUUUGAUGUUCUAACGUU